UACGAGGGGGGCUAGCGUUGCUCGGAAUCACUGGGCGUAAAGGGUGCGUAGGCGGGUCUUUAAGUCAGGGGUGAAAUCCUGGAGCUCAACUCCAGAACUGCCUUCGAUACUGGAAGACUUGAGUCCGGGAGAGGUGAGUGGAACUGCGAGUGUAGAGGUGAAAUUCGUAGAUAUUCGCAAGAACACCAGUGGCGAAGGCGGCUCACUGGCCCGGUACUGACGCUGAGGUGCGAAAGCGUGGGGAGCAAACAGG
rnacentral:rRNA from 1 species